rnacentral:tRNA from 1 species
AGUAAAGUGCCUGAUUAAAGGGUAAUUUUGAUAGAAUUAAAAAUGUAUUUUAAAUAUACCUUUACUU